UGGCGGCGUGGAUUAGGCAUGCAAGUCGAACGAGAUCUGUAGCAAUACAGUGAAAGUGGCGAAAGGGAGAGUAAUACGUAGGUACCCGCCCUCGGGUCUGGGAUAGCUGCGGGAAACUGCAAUUAAUACCGGAUGAUGUCUCUGGACCAAAGGUGUGAUUCCGCCAGGGGAUGGGCCUGCGUCCUAUCAGCUUGUUGGUGUGGUAACGGCGCACCAAGGCUAAGACGGGUACGGGGUGUGAGAGCAUGCCCCCGCUCACUGGGACUGAGAUACUGCCCAGACACCUACGGGUGGCUGCAGUCGAGAAUCUUCCGCAAUGGGCGCAAGCCUGACGGAGCGACGCCGCGUGUGGGAUGAAGGCCCUAGGGUUGUAAAGCUCUUUUGUGCGGGAAGAUAAUGACGGUACCGCAAGAAUAAGCCCCGGCUAACUUCGUGCCAGCAGCCGCGGUAAUACGAAGGGGGCUAGCGUUGCUCGGAAUCACUGGGCGUAAAGGGUGCGUAGGCGGGUCUUUAAGUCAGGGGUGAAAUCCUGGAGCUCAACUCCGGAACUGCCUUUGAUACUGAGGAUCUUGAGUUCGGGAGAGGUGAGUGGAACUGCGAGUGUAGAGGUGAAAUUCGUAGAUAUUCGCAAGAACACCAGUGGCGAAGGCGGCUCACUGGCCCGAUACUGACGCUGAGGCACGAAA
rnacentral:rRNA from 1 species